CCUACGGAAUAACGCAUGGAAACGUGUGCUAAUACCGUAUACGCCCUACGGGGGAAAGAUUUAUCGGGGUAUGAUGAGCCCGCGUUGGAUUAGCUAGUUGGUGGGGUAAAGGCCUACCAAGGCGACGAUCCAUAGCUGGUCUGAGAGGAUGAUCAGCCACAUUGGGACUGAGACACGGCCCAAACUCCUACGGGAGGCAGCAGUGGGGAAUAUUGGACAAUGGGCGCAAGCCUGAUCCAGCCAUGCCGCGUGAGUGAUGAAGGUCUUAGGAUUGUAAAGCUCUUUCACCGAUGAAGAUAAUGACGGUAGUCGGAGAAGAAGCCCCGGCUAACUUCGUGCCAGCAGCCGCGGUAAUACGAAGGGGGCUAGCGUUGUUCGGAAUUACUGGGCGUAAAGCGCACGUAGGCGGAUAUUUAAGUCAGGGGUGAAAUCCCGCAGCUCAACUGCGGAACUGCCUUUGAUACUGGGUAUCUCGAGUAUGGAAGAGGUGAGUGGAAUUCCGAGUGUAGAGGUGAAAUUCGUAGAUAUUCGGAGGAACACCAGUGGCGAAGGCGGCUCACUGGUCCAUUACUGACGCUGAGGUGCGAAAGCGUGGGGAGCAAACAGGAUUAGAUACCCUGGUAGUCCACGCCGUACACGAUGAAUGUUAGCCGUCGGGCAGCUCGCUGUUCGGUGGCGCAGCUGACGCAUUAAACAUUCCGCCUGGGGAGUACGGUCGCAAGAUUAAAACUCAAGGAAUUGACGGGGGCCCGCACAAGCGGUGGAGCAUGUGGUUUAAUUCGGAAGCAACGCGCAGAACCUUACCAGCUCUAGACAUUCGGGGUAUGGGCAGUGGGAGACACUGUCCUUCAGUUCGGGCUGGGCCCCAGAAACAGGUGCUGCAUGGCUGUCGUCAGCUCGUGUCGUGAAGAUGUUGGGGUUAAGUCCCGCAACGAAGCGCAACCCUCGCCCUAGUUGCCAGCAAUCAAUUGGGCACUCUAGGGACUGCCGGUAUACCCGAGCGAGUGGAUGACUCAGUCCUCAAGG
rnacentral:rRNA from 1 species